rnacentral:rRNA from 1 species
ACAGCAGCCGCCGCGGUAAUGCGAAGGGAGUUAGCGUUGUUCGGAAUUACUGGGCGUAAAGCGCUCGUAGGCGGCUUUGUAAGUCAGAGGUGAAAGCCUGGAGCUCAACUCCAGAACUGCCUUUGAGACUGCAUCGCUUGAAUCCAGGGGAGGUGAGAGGAAUUCCGAGUGUAGAGGUGAAAUUCGUAGAUAUUCGGAAGAACACCAGUGGCGAAGGCGGCUCACUGGACUGGUAUUGACGCUGAGGUGCGAAAGCGUGGGGAGCAAACAGGAUUAGAUACCCCAGUAGUCCCUGUCUCUUAUAC